rnacentral:misc_RNA from 1 species
UGAAAGUGCCAUUGGAAUAUAUUGUCUGAAAACUGGCAAUUAUUUCCCCAAAGGUUAUGUAGGUUAGGCCUUUUGUUUCUUGCUUUUUGUGUGUUUUUUGAUUCAUCAAUUUGAUAUUUUUUUUGUUAUCAAUUUAUUUCUGUAACAAUCAAAUAUGUAGUUGAUUCCCGAGAAAAGCAAUUUUUGUCUUUCAUUUUCACAGUAUCAACUGAUAUAUUUUCUAGUUUUCCUCUUUAAUUUUUUUUAUUUUGAAACAAAUCAUGUGAAUGAGAAAAAUGUCAUAAUAGUACAUAGAUCACUGGGGCUGAUGAUGAUAAAUCUGUCUCAGUGAAUACAAACUGGUACAGAAAUACUGUAUGCAACAUUCAGUGUAAUCAGUAAUCAUUUUAUGGCAAUAUAUGAUAAUAUAUCAAAUAAUUCAUUCUCAUCAGGAUAUAAAACUACUCCAUAUUUUUAAAAAAAAUAAGCAGAGAGGGGGAUGUACAAGUCAUAAUAAGUCAUUACAUUAAACCUGUCCCAUGUCUGCAAGCUUUACUUUAUCUGAUGAGUAACAUGAAGUGACUGUGAUAGAAUGAAGAUCCUGAUUCCAUGUGUAAAUAGUCAAUACUCUUGUAAUCCUCUCUACAGGUAGACACAUAUGCAUGUAUGUGUUGACUGUGUGUAUAUAUACAUUUGUAUGGUACAUACACAAAUUGUUGUUGGGUGCUAAAACAUUGUAAAUAAGUCUUUAUAUCUAUAAUCGUUAAUAUUAAUAGAAAUAAUAUAUUUUUAUCAUGUGUGAAAGUAUCUGCAGCUGCAUUUAAUAAUAUACUUCAGUUUGUGUGAAUACAGUAUGGAAGAAUUUGUCUGGGUCAUGAAUAUUAAAGAUCUGUGUUUUUUUGAAUUUUCUUUCUGUAGAAAAAAAAAAGAUCAAUGAAAUGCAAUAAAAACUCAAAAGACAUC